CUAUCAAAACACAGGAUGUUAGUGGUUGGAGAAGUUGACUUCUCUUUCUCUCUUUCUUUAGCCAGACUUUCGGUUCUGCUCUCAACUUGGUUUCAACUACUGUUGAUACCCAAGGCACUCUCUUUUUUCUUUCUUUACUUCAACUUGUUAAAGGGUUUCUUUUGUUUGGUUGACAAAAGAAAGAAUUUUUAAUGAUCCGUAAAGGGUUUGUCUUUGUUUGAGUUGCAGAUAACAUAGCCAAUAAAUACAGUAAUGGCGUAGGAAAUGCGAGGGAACUAGAAGAGAAGGGAGGGUUAGUGCUCUAUGGAGUGGAUGCAAUAGAGAUGAGUCAGUGCAACUUUUUGAGGACUCAGAGGUUUGAUCGAAUUGUCUAUCAACUUCCCUCAUGUUGAUUUCCUCUUCCCUGAGGGUAGCUAGUGCCAAAUCCAGUUGAACAAGAUAUUGCUAAGGGGUUAUUUGAGCAAUGGCGAAGUCAUGUUGAAAAAGGAUAAAGGGGAGAUUCGUGUAACACACAAAGGCGACAAUGGAAUUUAGUCAAGAAAGCAGAGAAGAUAGGCUUGGUUUUUGCAUGAAAUUGUGCCCUUCUCCAAAGAUGACUAUCCAGGAUAUGACAACAAGAGAGAGCUCAUGGAAGCCUUUCCGAUGCUCCCUCUCGACUUGGGGAUAGCAGUACUUAAAAGUUCAAGCCCAAUCAGUCAUCCAAGUUCAAUAGAUCAUCAAGUAGAAAUGCCUGAAUGUUCUGUGGUGACAGAUAACUGAGCAGAAGUACUGCUGAUUCGGGAGUACAUCUUGUGGAACAUGUACUUUCAUAAAUUCAUACAGCUGGUGUUUUGUAAUAAUUACUCGUAUUUUUUGGUGUUCAGAAAUCAAAAUACUUUAGCAGCUGAUUAGUACCAUCUUAAACCAAAUAUAUCCCUGAUGCUUGCUUUGUCGAGGCUUCAUGAUUCAUGAGGUGCUGCAUAAAGGUACGCCUUAGGAGAAAGUCCUAUGGUUACGACGGCAUGCAUGUUGACAUGUUGGCUUUUAUGACAGUGAUUAAUGAGAGUCUGUAUGAUCUCCAUGGAAAUUGUGUUCUGUAUAACCCCAUCUCCAGUGAAAUUGGCAUCUUUUUUUAAUUGAAGAAAUAACAUCAAGCGUGAAAUGACAUGGAUUUCUGGAGGAUUCGCAUGCCAUUGACAUGGAGGAACUGGUCAAAGUUUUAUAGAGAUAAACGGGGCGGAUCCUAGCUAGUGCACAGGUUGAAUAUAUAUCCUCAGGAUGAGCUGAGGAAGAGAUGCAAUUUUCUUCUUCGUUAAGGCCUUGAUUACGACGCAAAACAUACUCAAGCUAAAGUAUUAUAUGUUGUCAUUGUCUUGCAUUGUUUAACAUUGUGAUGUAAUAACUUAUUCAUGAAACUUAUUCAUGAAAAAGACAUGGUGAUUUACAGACA